rnacentral:lncRNA from 1 species
UGUUAAUGGUCAGGUGGAUUUGAUGGAACAGCUUGCAAGGCAUUUCAUAAGGCCCCUUACUAAGGAUCAAAUGGAGGCAAUUAUGGAGUUGGCAAUUCAGGGAAAGGAGAAGGAAGGGACCAAGAAGAAGGGCAGAAAGGUGGCACCUCUCAAGGCUCCUUUCAUAGAGGCUGCUGAGAGGAUCUGUUGGUGUGUGUGUGUGUGUUAUUAGAAGAUUUUGUAAGGACCCAAAUGCAUAAAAUGCCAAUAAAAGAGAGAGGGGGAGGUGUGUUCAGGAAGUCUGAACCGACCUCAACCCAUAUUCUACAGACUUCCACAGGCUUCAACAUGGUAUCGGAGCCGAGGUUCUCGGAGGCGAUUGUGGUGGCGACGAGUCGGUGUACUUCGAGGAGAAGGACCGGCUGAUCCAGCAGCGUGCGGCGGAGCGGGUGGACCAGUGCGUCGAGAAGUGCGUGGAGGGGUGCGCCGGCUCGUCCUGCGUGCAUCGCCAGGGGUGACGCUGGGCCAAGGUCAGCACGUCGACGUCCGGCUGGGCGGCGAGGACGAGCGCAGCAGCAGGCGAAGGAACCCGGCGCGGAGAAGGCGAAGGAGGCGGCGGCGGCGCCGCUGAAGACGACCAAGUCCGUGCAGGCGGCCAACGGAGAGAGGUCUGCGGUGAGUGCGGCAAGAAAAAAGGGGGCGGCUCUGUAGGUUUGGCUGCUGUCUGGGCACAAGGCAAAGGAGGAGAAGAACAGGCAGCGGAGGAGCUGCAAGAAAGUGACUGGAGCUUCUGCUGAUUGAGCAGAAUGGGGGAACAACAAGGCAUUGAACAAGUCCUUGGGAAGCUGGUGGAACUGCUUACAGCGAAGAAAGAUGAGACUCCAUCUUCAGGCAAGGAGAUUGUAUCGUAUAUGGAACCUGUCCAGAAAAUUGAGCUAAUGCCAAAUGACAUUAAAUUGGAAGGCAUUAGAAACUACUUGCCGUGGUCAAGAAGAGCAAUGUUAUUACUGAAGGCAAAGAGACUUGAAGGUUUUGUCACCGGAGAAUCAAUUGAGCCUGAAGACAAGUCGAGCAAUGACUGGAAAACAUGGGAGGCUAUAAACUCUCUGGUGGCUGCAUGGUUGUUGAGCUCUUUAUCUCCUACCAUAGCAGGCUCCGUGGAUACUAUCACAAGUGCAGCUGGAAUAUGGGAGGCCUUGUCGAAAAUGUAUUCAGGAGCUGGUAAUGUGAUGCUAUUAGCUGAGACUGAGGACAGAAUUAGUACUAUGAAGCAGGGGGACCUCUCCUUAAUGGAUUAUGUUGCAGCUUUGAAGCGGCUGUGGGCUGAUGUGGAUCAUUUUGAUCCUAUUGAGCUACCACACACUGAAUGUGUAGUGUGGAUAAAGAAAUGGAUAGAAAAAAGAAGGGUUCUUCAAUUCUUGAGAGGUUUGAAUCCAGAUUUUGAGGCAAGGCGUGCUAGUAUGUUUCAUCAAUCCAGUCUUCCAAGUCUCGAAGAAGCCAUAGCUGCAAUGGCACAAGAAGAUACUAGACUGAAGUUGAUAAAAGGUGAUACUUCAUCUCCACCUCCUCCAGCUUUUGUGAUGACAAGGAUACAAGAAACUAGAACAUGCUAUAAUUGUGGUGAGCAAGGUCAUCUGAGUCGAGAUUGCCCUCAACAACGAAGGCCUUAUCGUGGGAGAGGAAGAAGCAGUGAUAGACGUGCUAUGAGGGGAAGUGGAAGCCGUGGAGGAAGGAGCGGAGGUUAUAGAGCUAAUGUUGCUAUACCUGAGGGAGAUGAAGAUCUAAUUACAAUUCCAGCUUCAGAACUAAAAGAGUUGAGAAAGUUGAAGGAGAAUAAGAAUGACUCAACGUCUGAUGAUCAAGGUGCAGUGUCAACUUCAACUGAUAAUUUGGACCCAGGUAUAAAAAACCAUGCUUUAAUUUCCAUGAGAAAAUCCAAUUCAAGCUGGAUAUUAGAUUCUGGGGCAUCUAAACAUGUCACUGGCAGGUCAAGUGAAUUUGCAUCAUAUAAGUUAUAUCCAAGUUCAUAUAAGAAAACGGUUCAAACUGCUGAUGGAACAUUCCAACCCAUCAGAGGAGUUGGCACAGUAAAAUGCACACCAUCUAUAACCUUAUCAUCAGUAUUAUAUGUUCCUUCCUUUGGAGUCAAUUUAGUUUCAAUAAGUUCUUUGGUUGAUCAAUUGGACUGUCAAAUAUUUCUUGAUCGUGAAAAUUGUAUAAUUCAGGAAAGGAAGACUGGAAGAAGACUUGGAACUGGGGUUCGUCAUAAUGGACUCUGGUAUCUUGAUAAGAGAAGAACUGAUGAAGUAGUAUGUCGUGCACUAUCUGCAGUGGCCAGUGAAGAAGAAGCAAAGGUAAUGCUCUUACACUGCCGCCUGGGACAUAUAUCUUUUGAUGUUAUGAGUAGAAUGUUUCCUUAUGAAAUGAGUAAGGUGAACAAACAAAGAUUAGUCUGUGAUGCGUGUGAAUUUGGGAAACAUACUAGAACCUCCUAUGUGACUCGAGGACUACGAAGUGAAAGUCCCUUCAUGCUUGUUCAUUCAGAUGUAUGGACAUCCCCUAUUGUCUCAGUGAGCGGGGUGAAAUACUUUGUUUCCUUUAUUGAUUGUUAUUCUCGUAUGACCUGGUUAUACCUUAUGAAGCAUAAAAAUGAAGUGUUAGACUGCUUUAAGGAUUUCUGUGCAUUAGUAAAGAACCAGUAUAAUACUCAUGUGAAAAUUAUCAGAAGUGACAAUGGAACAGAGUAUGUAAACACGGAAUUUAGAUCUUUUCUCUCUAAGGAAGGGAUAUUACAUCAGACGUCAUGCCCCGAUACACCCCCACAGAAUGGAGUAGCUGAGAGGAAGAAUCGACAUCUAUUAGAGGUGGCUCGCUCACUUAUGUAUACAAUGAAUGUGCCUAAGUUUCUAUGGAGUGAGGCAGUUAUGACUGCUACUCAUUUAAUUAAUCGUAUGCCAUCAAGGAUACUUGGCAUGAAAACUCCAUGUGAAUUGCUCUAUGGAAAGAAUGAAUUCAUUGUCCCACCAAAGGUUUUUGGAUGUACAUGUUUUGUUAGAGAUCACAGACCUUCAGUGGGAAAGUUAGACCCUCGAGCUGUUAAAUGUAUCUUUGUUGGGUACUCCUGUGGGCAGAAAGGAUAUAGGUGUUGGAAUCCAUCUGAACGACGGAUGUUUGUGAGUUUAGAUGUCACUUUUCGGGAAGCUAUUCCUUUUUAUGGAGAAAGAUCAGACCUGAGUGAUCUAUUUGCUACUCUUGAUACUCCUAGUGGAGAUGGAGUUACAUCUGAGGGGGAGAAUGAGAAUGAACAAGAUGAUGUAGACGAGGGACAAACAAAGCAUGAAGGAGUAAUAAGCAGUCCAGUUCCUCAGGAAAGAAGAGAGGUAAGUGAUGAAUCAAUUUUACCUCAAGCCCAGAAUUCUAGAGGAGAAAGUAUACAUGACAGAGUAAUCUCAAAAGUGUAUACAAGACGGAAGUACAUGACUCGAACAAACACAGAAGACAUGGCUCAAUCAACUCCUAUACAAGAAAGUGGCCAGGAAGAAAUUGAAGAAGCUCGAGCUCCAGAGAUUGAGGUUGAGGACCUGCCAUCAGAUGAUAUGCCCAUUGCGUUACGAAAGGAACCAAGAACUGGUGCAGGAGUCCCUCCUCAGAGGUAUGGAUUUGAUCACGACAUAAGCAAUUAUGUGUCUUAUACCUCACUAUCUUCUGAAUAUAAUGUUUUUCUGGCAUCCUUACAAUCUGUGACUAUUCCAAAAGAUUGGAGGGAAGCAAAAUUGGACCCAAAGUGGAAAGAGGCCAUGCUUGAAGAACUAACUGCUCUAGAAAAAAACAAAACUUGGGAUCUUGUGCCUUAUCCAUUGGGUAAGAAAAUAGUUGGUUGCAAAUGGAUAUAUACAGUGAAACAAAAUCCUGAUGGAAAAAUAGAAAGAUACAAAGCUAGAUUAGUUGCAAAAGGAUAUAGUCAGACCUAUGGAAUUGACUAUGAUGAGACAUUUUCCCCGGUUGCAAAAAUGAGUACUGUAAGAACAUUAAUCUCUUGUGCAGCUAAUUAUGAUUGGCCGCUAUAUCAGUUGGAUGUUAAGAAUGCUUUUUUACAUGGGGAUCUUCAAGAAGAAGUCUACUUGGAGGUCCCACCGGGAUUUGCUACUGAUCAGACCAAAGGAAAAGUAUUGAAGCUGAAAAAAUCGUUAUAUGGUUUAAAACAAUCACCUAGAGCUUGGUUUGAUCGACUACGACGGGCUAUGUGUAAUAUGGGAUAUAAACAGUGCAAUAGUGAUCACACUGUGUUUUAUUAUCAUUCUGGAGGCAGUGUCACUAUUCUGGCAGUAU